rnacentral:tRNA from 2 species
AAGAAUAGUAGGGGGGGGC